UACGGAGUGUGCGAGCGUUACUCGGAAUCACUGGGCAUAAAGCGCACGUAGGCGGAAUUGCGUGUCGGUGGUGAAAUCCCCCAGCUCAACUGGGGAACUGCUGCCGAAACUGCUUUUCUUGAGGACGAGAGGGGAGAGUGGAACUUCUGGUGGAGCGGUGAAAUGCGUAGAUAUCAGAAGGAACACCGGUGGCGAAAGCGACUCUCUGGCUCGUAUCUGACGCUGAGGUGCGAAAGCUUGGGUAGCAAACAGGAUUAGAAACCCCAGUAGUCC
rnacentral:rRNA from 1 species